rnacentral:rRNA from 1 species
AUUGAACGCUGGCGGCAUGCUUUACACAUGCAAGUCGAACGGUAACAGGGUGCUUGCACCGCUGACGAGUGGCGAACGGGUGAGUAAUGCGUCGGAACGUGCCGAGUAGUGGGGGAUAACGCAGCGAAAGUUGUGCUAAUACCGCAUACGUACUGAGGUAGAAAGUGGGGGACCUUCGGGCCUCACGCUAUUCGAGCGGCCGACGUCUGAUUAGCUAGUAGGUGAGGUAAAGGCUCACCUAGGCGACGAUCAGUAGCGGGUCUGAGAGGAUGAGCCGCCACGCUGGGACUGAGACACGGCCCAGACUCCUACGGGAGGCAGCAGUGGGGAAUUUUGGACAAUGGGCGAAAGCCUGAUCCAGCCAUGCCGCGUGUCUGAAGAAGGCCUUCGGGUUGUAAAGGACUUUUGUCAGGGAGGAAAUCCCUAGUGCUAAUAACACUGGGGGAUGACAGUACCUGAAGAAUAAGCACCGGCUAACUACGUGCCAGCCGCCGCGGUAAAAC